rnacentral:rRNA from 1 species
GAUGAACGCUGGCGGCGUGCCUAAUACAUGCAAGUCGAGCGAACAGGCGAGGAGCUUGCUCCUCUGACGUUAGCGGCGGACGGGUGAGUAACACGUGGAUAACCUACCUAUAAGACUGGGAUAACUUCGGGAAACCGGAGCUAAUACCGGAUAAUAUAUUGAACCGCAUGGUUCAAUAGUGGAAGACGGUUUUGCUGUCACUUAUAGAUGGAUCCGCGCCGCAUUAGCUAGUUGGUAAGGUAACGGCUUACCAAGGCAACGAUGCGUAGCCGACCUGAGAGGGUGAUCGGCCCAACUGGAACUGAGACACGGGCCAGACUCCUACGGGAGGCAGCAGUUGGGAAACUUCCCCAAUGGGCGGAAGCCUGACCGAGCAAACGCGCGUGGGGGAUGAAGGGCUUCGGAUCGUAAAACUCUGUUAUUAGGGAAGAACAAAUGUGUAAGUAACUAUGCACGUCUUGACGGUACCUAAUCAGAAAGCCACGGCUAACUACGUG